rnacentral:rRNA from 1 species
AGUCACUGACAUUAGAUACCCGGGUAGUCCCAGCCGUAAACAAUGUGCGUUAGGUGUGUCGGUAACCACGCGUUACUGAUGCGCCGAAGAGAAAUCGUGAAACGCACCACCUGGGAAGUACGGUCGCAAGGCUGAAACUUAAAGGAAUUGGCGGGGAGCACCACAACAGGUGGAGCCUGCGGUUUAAUUGGAUUCAACGCCGGACAUCUCACCGGAUAAGACAGCUGAAUGAUUGUCAAUCUGAAGGUUUUACAUGACUAGCUG